AGAAUUGAAAGAGGUUUGAUCGCGUAGAUUGACGCUGGCGUGACUAACACAUGCAAGUCGAACGGUAACAGGAAGCAGCUUGCUGCUUUGCUGACGGUGUGGACGGGUGGUAAUGUCUGGGAAACUGCCUGAUGGAGGGAUAACUGCUGGAAGCGGUGGCUAAUGCCGCGCCAACGUCGCAAGACCAAGAGGACCUUCGGGCCUCUUGCCAUCAGAUGUGCCCAGAUGGGGAUUAGCUAGUUGGUGGUAACGGCUCACCAGGCGACGAUCCUAGCUGGUCUGAGAGGAUGACCAGCCACACUGGAACUGAGACACGGUCCGAACUCCUACGGGAGGCAGCAGUGGGGAAUAUUGCACAAUGGGCGCAAGCCUGAUGCAGCCAUGCCGCGUGUAUGAAGAAGGCCUUCGGGUUGUAAGUGCUCAGCGAGGAGGAAAGUGUUGGGUUUAAUAACCACAGCAAUUGACGUUACCCACGCAGAAGAAGCACCAACUAACUCCGUGCCAGCAACCGCGGUGGCCACGGAGGUGCAAGCGUUAAUCGAAUUACUGGGCGUAAAGCGCGCACGCAGGCGGUCUGUCAAGUCGGAUGUAAUCCCCGGGCCAACACAGGAACUGCAUUCGAAAACUGGCAGGCUUGAGUCUUGUAGAGGGUGGGAAUUCGAGGUGUAGCGGUGAAAUGCGGCGUGAGAUCUGGAGGAAUACCGGUGGCGAAGGCGGCCCCACGGACAAGACUUGACGCUCAGGUGCAGCGUGGGGAGCAAGCAGGAUUGGAAUACAGUAGUCACGCCGUAAACGAUGUCUGCAGGAGGUUGUGCCCUUGAGGCGUGGCUUCGGAGCUAACGCGUUAAGUAGACCGCACAGGAGUACGGCCGCAGGUUAAAACUCAAAUAAUUGACAGGGGCCACACAAGCGGUGGGUAUGUGGUUUAAUUCGAUGCAACGCGAAAAGAACCUUACUGGUCUUGACAUCACAGAACUUUCCAGAAGAUGGACUGGUGCCUUCGGGAACUGUGAGACUUAGUGCUGCAUGGCUGUCGUCAGCUCGUGUUGUGAAAUGUUGGGUUAAGUCGCAACGAGCGCAGCCACUUAUCCUUUGUUGCCAGCGGUUAGGCCGGGAACUCAAAGGAGACUGCCAGUGACCAAACUGGAGGGAAGGUAGGGGAUGACGUCAAGUCAUCAUGGCCCACUUACGACGAGGGCUACUACACGAUGCUACAAUGGCGCAUACAAGAGAAGCGACCUCGCGAGCAAGCGGACCUCAUAAAGUGCGUCACAGCAGUCCAGUUGGAGUCUGCAACUCGACUCCAUAGGUAGAUCGCUGUAAUCGUGGAUCCAGAGAUGCCACGGUGAAUACACGUUCCCGGGCCUUGUACACACCGCCCGUCACACCAUGGGAGUGGGUUGCAAAAGAAGUAGGUAGCCAACCUUCGGGAGGGCGCUUACACCACUUUUGUGAUUCAUGACUGGGGUGAGUCGUAACAAAGAGUAACCGUAGGGGAACCUGCAGUUUGGAUCACCUCCUUA
rnacentral:rRNA from 1 species